UGUUGCUGCCCUCCCCGGGCGUUUCCUCCCUGACUUGGACCGCCGGCGAAGGCCGCGCGGUCCUUUUUUGCAAAUAA
rnacentral:sRNA from 1 species